AGUUAAAUCUACCAUUUUUUUUUUUCUUUGAGACAGGGUUGUGCUAGUGUAGUUCAGACUGGCCUCGAACUCAUGAUGAGCCUCUUGCCUCAGCCUCCGGAGUGCUGAGAUUACAUUCUGCAGGGUUGUCAUGUUUCCUACAGUCCCCUUCCCAUCAGUCUCUUAAAAGCCUGCGCCAAGUUCAUUCUCGCGAUGCCGUAGUUGUCGCGGUGCCUGCUGGGAGUCGUGGUCCGAGGCCACUGUGGGGAGCAGGCGCGGGCGAGCACCGCAGGCCGGACUUUAGGACCUGGCGAGGAGUGGCGGGCCGGGAGAUCGGGCGCGCGCUCGGGAGCAAGAGCGGCUGCAGCGGCGUAGGGAGCGAGCGGCCCGGGCGGCAGAGGAGGAGUCGGGGCUCGAUCGUCUAACCAUGGCCCAGAUAGAAAAACGGGGAGGUUUGCUUCGGAAAUCUUCAGCCUCCAAAAAACCACUAAAGGAAAAAGUGGUGCUGAUGUAUGAUGAGAUCUUCAUGACAGAAGACCCCAGUAAGUGCAGUCCUCGGUUCUGGGAAGAGCUCUUCCUCAUGAAGGUGAAUUUAGAAUACCUGGAAGGCAAGCUGGAAUCUCUUGAUAGUGAGGAGUUAAUGAAGAUCAAGGACAAUGUUAAUUGCUUAUUUCAACACUGCAUUCAGGCUCUGGGAGAGGAACAUCCAAUUCGAGUUGUGAAUGCAUUGCAGACCCUGUGUGCACUUAUUCGUGGAGUCCACCAGAAGAACAAGUCCACCUCUGGGUUUGACAUAAUCAACAUGCUGAUGGGCUUCGACAAGGCCGAGCUGUGCAUGAAGAACUUGAUGGAGAGUUUGGAUUCAUUGCUUUGUGCAGAAGGUUCUGAAAGUCUGAAGAGUUUAUGUCUGAAACUUCUUCUUUGCUUAGUGACUGUGACAGAUAAUAUUAGCCAGAACACUAUCUUGGAGUAUGUAAUGAUCAAUAGCAUAUUCGAAGCAAUUUUACAGAUACUCUCCCACCCUCCAAGUCGUAGGGAGCAUGGAUAUGAUGCUGUUGUCCUCUUGGCUUUGCUGGUAAACUACAGCAAAUAUGAGUCUGUGAACCCUUACAUUGUGAAGCUGUCUAUCGUGGAUGAUGAAGCCACUCUCAACGGAAUGGGGCUUGUGAUUGCUCAGGCUUUAUCUGAAUAUAACAGACAGUAUAAAGACAAGGAAGAAGAGCAUCAGAGUGGUUUUUUCUCUGCUUUAACAAAUAUGGUGGGCAGCAUGUUCAUAGCAGAUGCCCAUGAAAAAAUCUCAGUACAAACCAAUGAGGCCAUUCUUCUGGCACUUUAUGAAGCUGUUCAUUUGAAUCGCAACUUCAUCACAGUGUUAGCUCAGAGUCAUCCAGAAAUGGGUUUGGUGACAACCCCGGUCAGCCCCUCUCCAACAACUCCAGUCACACCGCUUGGGACCACGCCACCAUCCUCUGAUGUUAUAAGUUCUGUAGAACUCCCACUGGAUGCAGAUGUACAGACCAGUAAUCUGCUGAUAACUUUCUUAAAGUAUAGUUCGAUUGUGAUGCAAGAUACCAAAGAUGAGCACAGGCUGCACAGUGGCAAGCUCUGCCUGAUCAUCCUUACAUGUAUCGCAGAGGAUCAAUAUGCCAAUGCAUUUUUGCAUGAUGACAACAUGAAUUUUCGAGUAAACUUACAUAGAAUGCCUAUGAGACACAGGAAGAAGGCAGCAGACAAGAACCUCCCCUGCCGUCCUUUAGUGUGUGCAGUGUUGGACCUGAUGGUAGAGUUUAUUGUAACACAUAUGAUGAAGGAGUUUCCUAUGGAUCUCUACAUACGCUGCAUUCAGGUGGUACAUAAACUGCUUUGCUACCAGAAGAAGUGUCGAGUUCGGCUCCAUUACACCUGGCGGGAACUCUGGUCAGCCCUGAUAAAUUUGCUGAAGUUCCUUAUGUCAAAUGAAACUAUUCUUUUGGCCAAACACAACAUUUUUACAUUAACCCUUAUGAUUGUGAACCUGUUUAACAUGUUUAUCACAUAUGGUGACACAUUCCUGCCGACCCCCAGCAGCUAUGAUGAACUUUACUAUGAGAUUAUUCGCAUGCACCAGAGCUUUGACAACCUCUACUCUAUGGUCCUGAGGCUGUCUACCAAUGCAGGCCAGUGGAAGGAAGCAGCUAGCAAAGUGACCCAUGCAUUGGUUAAUAUCAGAGCCAUCAUCAACCACUUUAAUCCCAAAAUUGAAUCCUACGCUGCUGUGAAUCAUAUAUCCCAACUGUCAGAGGAGCAGUGCAGUCCGGAAUCUUGUUCUUUGAUGCUGGUCCUCUCUGCAAGAUGAUUCUUGGUGUUACUACCUCUUUCAGUUGGACCAGUUCAUGUCAUUUACUCGGUCAUUUUUCUGCAGAAUAAUUCAAUAACUUGAAUUCUGUACAGUGAGAGAAGUGACUUUCUACCUACAGUGAGAGCUGUAUACUUGGAAUUGAACCCUGUGCCUCAUACAUGAUAGCAGUUCUGUACCCACUGAGCUGCAUUCUAAGACUUAAAAAAAAAAGUGUUUGAGACACGAAGUUGCCCAGACUGACUUCAAAUUUACAGUCGUCCUGCCUCAGCCUCCUGAGUGGCUGGGAUUAUAAGCAUGCACUUGUAUGCCUGAGCCUGUGUCAUAUACUUUUGUGACUGCUUAUUUCUCUUAAAAUAGUAUAUUCAAAGUUCAUCCAUGUUGUGGCAUAGAUUAGAAUUUCAUUCCUGUUUAAAUCUGUACAUAUGUGUGUGUGUAUUAUAAGCUACAUUUUCAUUAUCUAUUGAUGGACAUUUAGAUUGUUUCCACUCUUUAGCUGUUAUUGGUAAUACACAUGUAAAUAUUUUUGUACCAAUGUGUGUUUAAGUCUCUGCUUCCAAUUCUUUUGUGUAUGUAAUUACAAAUUGAAUUGCUGGAUCAUAUGAUAAUUCUAUAGUUAACAUUCUGAGCAGUCACUAGACUUCCUCAAAAAUGACUGCACUAUUUUAUAUGGUAUCCCAAUUUGCGUGGUAUCUCAAUCUCCAGUUUCUUGCCAACACUUUUCUUUUUUUUUUUUCUUUUCUGUUUGUUUGUUUGUUUGUUACAAUACUCAUUCUAAUAGGUGUCAACUAUUGUCUCAUUGUGGUUUUGACUUGUAUUACCUGAAUGAUACGUUGAGCAUAGUUUUAUGUGCUCAUUAGCUAUUCCUAUAUCACCUUUGAAAUAAUCUGUACUGAAGUCCUUUGCCUUUUUUUUUUUUUAAAUCUGGGUCUCUUUAUGCAGUUCAGACUAGGCUUGAACACAUUGUGUAGCCUAGGCUGGUCUCAAACAGCAGUCCUUCUGCUUCAGCCUCCCAAGUGCUGUGAUCACAGGAUCCACCACCAGAUUGCUUUUGUGGUUGUUGAGUUUUAGACAUUUAACAUAUAUUCUGAAUAUUAAUUCCUCAUUAGAUAUGUGAUGUAAACAUUUUUUCAUAUCUAUAGGUAGACUUUUUAUAGUGUUUUGGGGUUUUUUGAGUAGGAAAAUGUAUUGGAGAUAAGCAGUGGGAAAUAGAAUGGCUCCUGAGAGACAGGAGGGGUCCCUAGUUGGUGGCCAUUUUUUUUUGUACCAAGGCUCAAACUCAUGACCUUGGGCAUGCCAUGCAAUUGCUUGUGCUGCUGAGCUAAAUCCCUGGCCUGGUUGCCAAAAAUUUUGAUACCACUUUUUUGAGGGGAGGGGCAGUUGAGACAGCGUCUUGCAAUGCAGUUCAGGCUGGCCUUGAAUUCACUGUGUCACCCAUACUGGCCUUGAAUUUGCAGUGAUCUUGCCUCAGCCUCCUGAGAUUACACACAUAAGCCCCUGCACCAUACACUGUUUUUUAUGUACAAAUACAGUUUAUCUCCUUGUUUCAUUACUUGUGUUUCUGGUGUCAUGUCCAAGAAGUUAGUGCCAAAACCAGUGUCCUUUUACAUUUAGGUCUUUAAUUCCUGUUGAGAUUUUGUUGUUGUUGUUGUUGUCAUUGUUGUUACUUGCUCGUUUGUUUUGGAAUGCUAGAGGAUGAACCCAGGGCUUCAUGCAUGCUGGGCAAGCUCUGACCCACUGAGCUGUGUUCCUAGCCCAAUUUUGAGUGAACUUUUUAAUAUGACACCAGGUAAACAUAAGUUGUUCUCUUUGUAUUUGACAUAUCUUUAUCAAUAAAGAUUAGGGAGAAGAUACAACUUGUUCUUCCAACAGCUGUGAAACUGCUUGUGGCUUAUUCCCUGCUCGACUUGGCUUGUUUCUAGAAUAUCUAUAAAAAUGACCCUUCGCCUGGGGGUUUAGCUCAGUGGCGUAAGUGCAUGCUUGGCAAGUGUAAGGUGGUGAGUUCGAUCCCCGGUACCAAAAAAAAAAAAAAAAAGACUCUUCAGGAUAUAGGGAUAUAGUUCAGGGCCCUUACCUAGCACACAUGAAGGACUUGGUUCAGUCCCUAGCUGUGAAAUCUCACGUUCACUGCCAGCUUGCAUAACUCAAGGACAUCCCAUCUCAGAACAAGAAAUGAAAGGGGCUGGAGAUGUAGCUCAGACCCCAGGACUGGGGAUGAGGGGGCCCAGGUGAAAUCUAGCUUUAUUUCUCAGAGAGGAGUGCGAUAUGGGUGAAAGGAGAGUCCCAGUUCAUGAGGCACUGCACUGUUGGGAAGCUUGGGUCUCAUCCAGGGGUUAAGAGAGAAUGCUCCGAGAAAGGCUUGAGGAAUGCUUGCCUGAAGCUUUAGUUUUGGGGGUGCUAGUCACUGUUUAAUAACCACUGGAUGGGGGCUGGGGAUUUAUUUCAGUGGCAUAAGCGCCUGCCUUGCAAGCAGGCUGUCGUGAGUUUGAUCCCUGGUACCAAUAAAAACGAAAAAGACCAAAAAAAAAACCAAACAAACAAAAAAAAAAACAAUAACCACUGGGUGGUAGUGGUGGCAUGGAGUGAGUGGGUGGUAUUAAUGCUCCUACCAUGGCUAAGGGGAAGCUAGCUUUCACAGUUCUCACAGGCCAAACCUGAGUACACCAGGGUUAGCACAUGAAAGAGGACUGAGAGAAGGGCUGUAAUGCUGAGUAGCAGUGUUGUUUUGUUUUUGGUAGCAGGGUUUUUUGACCAGAAAAUAAAUGUGUUCCCUUUCCCCAUAGGAACCACUUCAAUAAACAUCCUCACCACGGCAGCAUUGGAUCCCGAAAGGCCAAUCGAGGCCUCCAAGUCAUUUGCUCUAAGUGCCCCUGCGACGUUUUUCUCAUUUUAAAUCAGAUACUUAACAUUGUACAAGGCAGGCGUGGCAGAGACUUGUGCUGGAGAGUCCAGAUUUAAGAGUCCCGCGAUAGCUGUCGCUCAGUUUCCUGUGUAUGGCAGUGUGUUUGUCUAUAGCAUCCUCCCGUAGCCAGAAGUGAUGGUUGCUGUGGGAACUGAGUGAUGUGAGCAUGAGACACAAGUGCUGGCCGUCUAACCCUGCCUUCCUUGUUGUCUUUGUUUAGAUUCUGUCUUUGUUGAUUUCAGUUAACCUGUUUGGCAGAAAAAAAAAAUUGAUUAAAUUGAUUUUUACUGGAUUCACUAAAGCAGAAAACAGAGAAGAAGGUUUUUCCUAUAAGCAACUUAUCCUCAGUAAUAACUUCAGGUUAUGCAAUGUCUCACAAGGGUCUCACCAGGGUAAGAGUGUCAUCUUGAUUAUGUGCUGCUAGGAUGACCACUUUCACUUGGACCCGGAGGCAGCUUUACUACCAGAUGCCCUCAGUAAGGGAAAGGGUAUCUUGGAUUUAAAACAGAUAUAAAUAGAUACAAGGAAAGGAAUAACUUGUAAUUAUUAAACUGGUCACUUUAUAAGGGUGUUUUACUUAAUUCUUUUUUUUUUUUUUUUUUUUUUUGUCUUUUUUUCAUUUUUAUCGGUACCAGGGAUCGAACUCACGACUGCCUGCUUGCAAGGCAGGUGCUCAUGCCACUGAGCUAAAUCCCCAGCCCCUUUACUUAAUUCUUAUAUCAACUAGUUGCGGUAGGUAUAACCAUCGUUUUAUAGGUGAGGACACUGAAGAGACCAUUUUAUCCAGGGUAAUACAGCUGUUGGUGGCAAAGUCAUAGCAUCAACCUAGGCCUAGCUAACUCCAGAGUUUGGCCUUUUCCAUUUUAAGAGACUGAGGCCUGUAUGUAGUCUGUGUUUGUCAGCUGUCCUGAAGGAAGAGGUGAGAGGGAGGGGGAAGCAGAAAGAGAAUGACUGUAUGUAACACAGCUUAUUCCUGGGGGACAGGAAGAGGUCCUGACUGGGAAGGGUCCAUUCGCUAAGGACAGAGGGUACCGAAUAUGGGGCUAGAGACUUCACCUGCUGGCUGAGGAAAAACACAUGCAUGGAGGACCCUGGUGCAGUGUGGCACGUUUACUGUAAGAGAAAAGUCUGCUCCAGCCAAGUGUCCCAGGAGCGUUCACUAAGAGAAGUGAAGAUUUUUCUACACACCAAAGGGAGACAGUAAUUUUUUUUUCUUUUUCUUCUUCUUUUUUUUUUUUUUUUCUUUUGAAGGUAGUAAAAUACAACAGAACAAGACAGAAUAAAGCCAACUGGGACAGUGUAGAAAUUGGUGCAGAACUUCACAGCAGGUUACCGGGAUAACACUAAUAGGUAUCACAGUAUAUCUCAUUAUUUUUACAAUAGUUGUACUUUCAAUCAUGUAUAUCAAAAUAAAAUGAAAUACAGAGCAUUAUAAAACUUAUCAAAACAAAAUAUUGACUAGAGCAGUACCAUUAAUCAGAAUAAAGCAAAACAGUAAUAAAAAUAUUUGCCUUCAAAGAGAUGGUAGAAGAAAAUCCCCACUAUGGUCAACCUCCCAAGAGAUGCUCAGAUCUCUGGUUCCCAUUUGCUAACGGGGAGAGGGGAAGUGAGAUGAUUGACUCUCAGCCCAUGUACCAGUAGGCUCACUAUUGCUGAGCAGGGAGGCAGGCUGGUUGCUUGGUUUCCCAGCACACUAAGUUCCAACAUAGUGCAGAUCUCAGGAGACUCUGGUGGUUCUCCCCCUGGAGGGGCUGCAGCCUGCUACACCACAGCCACUUACCAGGGAGCGGAGCUGCUUGCUUGGUUUCCCAGGGUCCUAAGUUCCAACAUGGUGCGGAUCUCAGGAGACACUGGUGGUUCUUCCCCAGGGGCGGCCGCAGCUGACACAGUAAUUUUUUUAAAAAAGUUUCAAAAAGUUUUACUUAAUAGGUAAUAUAUGGUUCAAAAUCUAAAAGGCAGCACACCACAUUUUAAUUGUCUUUAAAAUAGUAGGUCAUGAAAUUUUUCUUUGUCUUCACAGUAUCAGGGAUUAAACUCACAACCGCACACUUGCAAGGCAGGCGCUUAGGCCGCUGAGCUAACAGCUCCAGGUCAUGAAAUUUUGACGUGUUUUGAAACUUUAUUUCCCUUUCUCUCCUCUCUAUCCUUGAAUAAAGUGGAUUUGAAAAAAUAAAAUAGUAGGUCAGUUUUGUUCAAAAAGAAAAACAUUUCAAAAUUAACGUCCCACAGCCAGGUGGAAUGAAUGCACAGGUGACUAGUGGGGAAGAGUUCAGGUCAUUAUACAUCUCUCUACUCUGAGCAUUUUUCCAGUUAGGUGUGAGUGUUGCCGUGACUUCUAGUCUUCCUCAGCCAGGCAACUGUGAAUCUUCACGGGCGGUUGAAGGAGACGAGGAACAGAAUUAAGGCUAGUUGGAGCCCUAGUGAGCAGUCAUCAGCUUUUAAAGAGAUCACAAGAGAUAGCAGUCCUUGCUUUCUUGGUUUGAUUUAAGAAAGAACUUGCAGGGGCUGGGGAUUUAGCUCAGCGGCAUAAGUGCCUGCCUUGCAAGCGCGCAGUCGUGAGUUUGAUCCCUGGUACCAGUAAAAAAAAAAGAAAGAGCUUGCAGUCCAGUUAUUAGAUAGAUAAUUGUCUUUUCUCUUGAGCUUGUUUUUUAGCCUUCCUUCCUUUCAGAAGAUCUUUGGGAAAUUUAUUUCCACUAUAGUCACUUUCCUAAGUAGUGGCUCAAACUGAGUAUGUUGGCCCAACCUGUAAUCCCAGUACUAGGAGGCUAAGGCAGGACUACUUCAUGUUUGAGGCCAGUGUAGGCUACAAAGUGAGUUUAAGGCCAUCCUGAAUCCCACAGUGUCAAAAAGACAAAAAGAGGAGGAGAAGGCAGAGAUAGGAUUCCAAGUUUAAGACCAUCCUGAAAUGGGCAUCUGAGAUAAAUACACACUUCUCAGAUGAAGAAAUAUAUAUAAAGAGCAAAUGCCUGAAAAAAUGUUCAGCAUCACAGGUCAUUCAAGAGAUUCAAAUUAAAACAGCACUAAGAUUCCACUUCACCCUGUAAAGAAUGGCUCUUAUCAAGAAAUCAACCAAUAUGGGGCUGGGGAUUUAGCUCAGUAGCAUAAGCGCCUGCCUUACAAGUGCGUGGUCGUGAGUUCUAUCCCCAGUACCGAUUAAAAAAAAAACCAGUAACAAAUGCUGGAGGGGCCAUGAGGUAAAGGAACUCUCUCCACUGUUGGUGGGAGUGUAGACUGGUGCAACCACUAUGGAAAUCACUGUGAAGGUUCCUCAAAAAGCUAGGAUUGGAGGUCCCAUUUGACCCAGCUAUUCCCGUUCUGGGUAUAUUCCCAAAAGAAUUAAAAACAUCAUACCACAGUGAUAUAUGUGCACCUAUGUUUAUAGAAAUACAGUUUAUAAUAGCCAGAUCUUGGAAACAACCUACGUGCUCAUCAACUGAGGAAUGGAUAAAAAGAUGUGAUUUUUUUUUAUAUAAUAGAAUACUACUCAGCCACAAAGAAGGAUAAACUGGAGCCUUUCAUAGGUAAAUGGAUGCAACUUGAGAACAUUAGUGAAAUAAGAACAUUAGUAAAUAAGUAAAUUAGUAAAUAAGCCACACAUGUGUAAACAUUAUUUCAUUAGUGUAACAAGCUGAAUGAAAAAAAUGUAUGUGUGUGUAUAUAAAGAAAUAUGAUAGUUAUACUACUGAUUCCUCUGAGUUGGUUGAAGAGAAAGAUUUGUGCUGGUGUUGUUCAGACAACUGAAUGCAGAUGUCUUGUGCUCUGGUGAAUGAUUUGGGGAUGACAGUGUGCACUGUAUGUACCAUCAUUGCCCCGAUUGAUGUGUUUUGAAAUUUUGUUGUAGUUCUUUUCUUCAUUUUCUUUCUUUAUUUUCAUCCUUGAAUAAAAUGGAUUUGAGGGGGGGAAAAGUUGUGUUUCUAAGAGCAUGGUUUGCCAACUGUGGUAAUACCACAGAGGCUGGAAGUGUUGUGGUACCAACUUUUAUCUCUGUUGUAAGCUGUGUUGAUUACAAAUACUUUUGCUAAGUAGCAUAAUAGCAUUGUGGCUUUUCAUCCUGUUUAAAGGAUGUUGUAAUCUUAAAAUGGAAAUGAAACUGUGGCUCACAAGUGAGAUUUUUGUUGGUUUGUUUUUGUUGGUCACUGUGUAGCCCAGGCUGCUUCGGAAUUUUGGUGAUCCACAACAACUGGCACAAGCAGGAUUUCUGUGAAGGCUUCUUUGUGUUAAGAAAGGAUGGGUAGGGGGCUGGAGGUUUAACUCAGCGGCAUAAGUGCCUGCCUUGCAAGCAGGCAGUCGUGAAUUCGAUCCCCAGUACCGAUAAAAAGACGUAAAAAAAAAAAAAAGAAAGGAUGGGUAGAUGGGUAUGGUGAUGCACACCUGUAAUCCCAACACUUGGGAGGCUGAGGCAGGAGGAUCAUUGUGAGUUUAAGACCAACCUGGGCUAUAAAGUGAGCUCAAGGCCAGCUUGAACUGCAUAAAGAACGCUAUUCAAAAAGACUCUCUCACACGCUCGCUCACACACACACACACACACACAGACACACACACAAAGAAGGAUAGGUUAAACAAGGUCUGGCAAGGAGGCAGAGACCUCAUAUUGAGUUGCCAGUAAGAUCAGAAAAGGGUGUUUCCUUUCUCCUCUGAGAUAUGAUAUGUUUUCAAGGAAAGGAACCCCAAGUAGGGAGUGCAGAGACAUCUGGCUUUAGACUGGAACUGGGCAAGGCCCGCCUACAACAAGGAGACAUCUUGAUAGAGUAUGUGUAGGUAUUGUGGUGUUUUCACCAGCUCGAUUGCCUUGGCUGCCUUUAGUGUGAUUGGAUGCCUUUCUUGUGCACAGUAAAGCCCUAGGUAUCUUGGGUCUGCAAUUAGUGCAAAAAAAGCUUCACAAGGGGUGUCUAGGACUUCAGCCAAAUGAAGUCAGGGAGGUAGGGGUGACUAGCUGGGGAAAUUAAAGAAAGUUGCUGUCACUAUUGCUUUGCCCAGAUGAUGGCCUCUCACUAAUCACCCACUGUGAGGUUCAUUAUCUGGCCCACCUUGCUGAAGGGCAAAGUCAGCCUGUCAGAUGAAUAUAUCUCAGGGCGAUGGAGAGCCCUUUGGUAGCAGGCUUGGAAGACAUAGCUGGACUGAGAGAACUGGCCAGUUUAUAUACAUUCUGAAAUCGAAUUUAGUCCUGAAGUGUAGAAGUUAUGGAAAAAAUAGAGAAGGGCUGGGGAUUUAGCUCAGCAGUGUAAGCACCUACCUGGCAAGUGUGAGGUUGUGGGUUUGGUCCCUAGUACCAAGAAAGAGAGACAAGAGGGGAAAAAAAACUCACAAAUUUCUGCAUAUUGAAUGCAGGGUAGCUUUGUAGAAGAAAUAUCUGUUAGGCGAGUGUACCCUGGAGAGUGACUUAGCUUACCUUGGAUAGAAAGUCACUGUAAGCAUUGCGCGAGCAAGAGGUGCUCAGUCAGUGGAGGUCUGUGUUUUUGUUAAGGUUGCUAUUCUAGUUUCUAUGCUUAGGCUGUUUUUUUGUUGAUUUUUAUCCUUUCCCAGCCACAUGAAGCUAUCUGCAAAGGAAGCUCUCUAGACCUACUUUGGUCUAAGAAUUCUCUGCUUCUGAGUGUUGUAGUGCUGUAAGACAGGCAGUGGGGUUGCCUGGGCUUUAAAUGCCCCAGAUUUUUUCUCUACACAGAAAUACAGAAGUACUUUCUGUGCCAAGCUAAGACCUAUAAAAACACAAAGCCCAUACCUGCCCUCAAAAGUUUCACAGUGUGCAUAUGAAGAUUGUUACUUUCUCGUUAGACCUCUGCUUAUGUGUCAUCCUUGGCCUCUCUCAAGUUGAUGUGUUUGGAAUGAUUACAUCAGCCCCUCUGGGCCCUUUAUAAGUCUAGGACGAAGCCUCCUUUUCUCCUGGAGUCCCCAGUGAGAUACUGUUGCACUGUAAAUCCAUAAAUGGUUGCCUGAUGACCUUUACUUCAAAAGUUUCCUCUAGCUGUGACUAUCUAAUACCUUGCAUAGUUGCUUUAGUUUCAUGAAAAGAUGAAAGCAGAAGCAUCAUUAGGUGUCCUUAGUAAAGAUAGGAAACUGUAAGUUCCAGAGCUUGGCAAGUGAUUUGAGUUUGCCAGACUUCUAAGUUGUAAAUUCACUCAAAACUCUCAUAUGGCUGGGUACUGUUGGUUGCUACUUAGGGUCUAUUUAAUUUAUCAGGGAGAAAUAUGGAGUUCCAGAUGGAAGGUGGGAGUGCAGUGAGAAGAAUCCUUGGCAUUCAAUCCAAGGCUUCAUGCAUGCAAAAUACACAUUUUACUACCAAGAUAAACCCCCUACCUCGGUCAUUUUCAUGAAAAUCAACUUGAAUAUAAUUAGGUAUUCAUGGAAAUCAGUUUAAUACUGUCUUUUUCUUUUUUUUCCAGUAUUAGUAGGGAUUACACCUAGGGCCUUGCUAGUGACAUGCACUGAGCUAUGUCACAGUCCUUUCUAAAUAUUUUAAAUUUUGUGACAUGAUCUUUCUAAAUCGUUAAAUUGAGCCAGGUAUGGUGACACACACCUGUAAUCUCAGCGCUCAGGAGGCUGAUGGAGGAGAAUUGCUGUGAGUGCAAGGCCAGCCUGGGAUACAUAGUGGGUUAAACUUCAGCCUGAGCUACAUAGGGAGCCCUUGUCUCCAAAAACAAACAAAUCACUAAGAUUCCAGGCCUUCAGCCCCCUAGAGUGCUGUGGUUACAGGCAUGUACCACCUCACUUGGCUCAAUUGAGUCCUUUUUAAAAAUUUAUUUAUUUUUGGUACCGGGAAUUGAACUCACAACCUCAUGCUUUCAUGCUUGCCAGGCAGGCACUUAUGCCACUGAGCUAAAUCCCCAGUUAAUUCAUUCCUUUUUAAAGGAGUUAAACCUUAGUGUUUUAUUUAGUAAAUCUUUACCUAUUCCUGGUUGCAAUUAUUUGGCGGGUGGGGUGAUACUAGGCGUUAAAUGCAUGCUAGGCAAGUGCUAAAGCACUCAGCCUUACCCACAGCCUAACUGUGAGUUUUCACAGAUUGGCUUUAUUAGAUUGUGGAAAUUUCCUUCUCUUAUAAAUCUGCUGAGGUUUUGAGUGGGUGUUGCCUUUUGCCAAUGCCUUUUCUGCAUCUACUGAAAUGAUCAGGUAGAUCUUUUACUUCAGUCUGUUACUGUAGUAACUGCUUUUUGAAUAAAUAUUAAACCAAUCUUAAUAUUCCUGGGAUAAAUUCCUCAGGGUCAUGCCACAGUAUUCUUCCCUGUUUUUAAAAGUUUGUGUAAGAUUAUAAUGAGCUGCUUUGUUUGUUUUUUGGUACCAGGGAUUGAACUCAUGGCCUUGCACUUGCCAGGCAGGCUCUUAGGCCACUGAGCUAAAUCCCCAGCCCCCCUAUGUAAGAUUAAUAUUAUUUCUCACUUAAUGUUUUUUUGUUGUUCAGUUUUGCUUUUGUUGUUUUGUUUUUGUAGUAUUAAGGAUUGAAUAUAGGGCCUCAUACAUGCUAGACAAGCACCUUACCAUUGAGCUGCAUCCCCAGCCCUUAAAAUUAUUUUUAAAUAUGAGAUGGUGGUCUCAAUUGCCUAGGCUGGCUAUAAAAAGUGUUUUGUUUUGUUUUGUUUUUUUCUGAGACAGGGUUCAGUAUGUAUUUUGAUAGAACUGUAAAAGGGAAGGAGGAGGACCAGCGCAUGGCUGAAAAGAUAAGAAGUAUAAAAUAUAAAUAACCUUUAUUUUGGGAAUGCGGGGAGAGACACCCCCAACCCCCUGGGGCAUGGCAUCUCCACCCCAGAGCCGUGGGAGUGAGGCACAUAAGUAGCCUCAGCUUGGGGUGGAACCUAAGGGGGCAUUAGGGAUGCACAGGUAGCCCAUUGGUCUUAGUUUGGCGCCAGAGGCAAUUCCUAAGGGUGGGGGAGAUAGGAGCUCCUUGGCUUUACCGGCUACAGUAUCCUGCCGGGGCCAAAACCCUUUCAUAUCCCAUCUCAUGAUUAUUAUGAAAAGGGGCGAAGAUUUGUCUCUUUAACUACUUCCUGCUGGCUGAGGACGCUGUACUGGGGUCUAGGGGAGUCAACGGGAUGACAAUUGAUGUCUAGGUAGAAGCUGGUGUCAGGUGUUUUAGCCAGGACAACUUUACUGGUAAAUGCACGUAUGUUAGACUGAAAGAAACAAAGAGACAAGAUGUUAUGAGGAGACAUGGCACUGUCAUAUUUAAGGACCCAAGUGAGGUAGAGGGAAAGGUGUCUUUGAUUUAGACAUGUCAUUCUAUCAGGAUGACAUUGAGAUAGGAUUAUUUUCACGGUAAGGCAGAAUUCUGAAAAUUAAAUGUAGGAUUAGGAGGAGUGAAGUUAUGAGAGGUGCUUACUCCCCCAUCUGAAAGCAUAAAAGUUAAAAGGUAGGUUGGUAAGGCUUGUCUCUGGUAUGUAUGAUGUUGGAGUCUGUAGGCAAUACUGUUAAAAGAGUCCUGCUGUAAAAUUGAUCAUUAAUAGAAUGUAGGAAAUCAGGAACCAAAGUGGAUAACAAAACAUGACAACCUUUAAGUUGUGGCCGUGAGGCCUUGGUAAGGCAGAGAUGAGUACGAAAAGGAUGGUCAGAUUUAGGGCCUGAGUGAUGUGAAAUCAGGAUGGCAGUCUAGCAACUUUGAUUGCUGUUAAGGUUACCAAAAAUAUCAGGUAUGGGUCGCUAUGACUUGGUUGUAGUCCUUGGAAUGCUUUGCUGCAACAGAACUUUACCAAGUAUAUCAGUAGUUUCCCUGGUUGUGAGAAAGGCUUUUAUGUAUCCUGAAAAAGUAUAAACAAAGUGAGAAGACAAAAUGUAUCUGUCAGCCUGUAUAAAAGGGAAUAAAAGCAUUUUAAGAUUUAGGACUGGGACCUGCACAAAAAUAGGCCCUGUUUGUAACUGGCAUAGGUUGACCUUUAAUACUCCGUCAGACAUUGAGGAUUUAUUAUAGUACUCUGAAAACUCAGUAAGAACUCUGUAUAUAUGGCCUCUAUGUCCACAAAUAUAGAGAAUGUCUUACCUUGAGAGUUUUAAUGUGACUUGGACUCUGAGACAGACACUCACAAAGGCGGUUGUUGUUGGCCCUUAGCCCCUCUCAGUCUUCGGCAGCAGUUUUUGUCAGUGACGAAUCUGGCUGUGUCCUGUGAGGGCUAGAAGUUAGGAUGGCCCACCUACUCUCUGGUGGCCAGGACAGCCCAGCAGCCCUGGAGUAAAGUCUCAGAACGCCAGGAUGGGGCAUUUUCUUGUCCAAUGUCUUCUGCUGCAUUUGAGCGUCGUCCAUGGGGGGGGGGGGGCAGGUAGCUCUACCUUGUGUAGAUUUGUCUGUCUCAGAACUGCAAGUGUUAUUUAAAAUAUGAAAAACCAUAUCAAGUUCUCUGUGGAGCUUGAAGGUCAAGUUUUGCCUUGUUGUUUGAGAUCUGGACUACAGUAAAAGGUAUCUGUAGAAUUAAGUAAGUAUGUAGGAGCUUAAUAUUGGCAUUUCAGAUUAGAAAGCAGGCUUUAUAUGGAUGUUAUACCACUUUUUAUAGGGUGCCACAUGGAAUUAACAAAAAAGGCUUAAUGGAAACAUUUUGCAGUAAAGGUUUAUCAAUCUUAUGAAUAAAUUUAUUAACAGUAUAUACUCUCAAGUUAUAACUUAGUUGUUAAACAGGAGAUUGGCGACAACACAGUACAGUAGAAGCAAUAAAUUUAGAACAGAGAACAUUACUGGUGGUGGACAACAUUAGAAUAUUUAACAAAACCCUUGUCUUGGAACAGAGCUAGUGGUUUACAGCAAAAAGGAAUUGAUAAAUAUCUCUUAAUUUUAGUGGUUAAAACAGGAGAUUAGUGUAGGCUUUAAUUGAUAAACAAGGCUGGUAAAAUUACCAGGUGGCCACUAACCUUGAAUAAAUGGUAGAAAAUUGUAAGAAAAAUAGCCUCUUUUGAGUGGAACUGAAUUGUAAAAAAAAUAUUUUUGAGCGGAGCUGUGAGAUGUUAUAAAGGCCCAGUGUCUAAGGCAGUUUGGAACUCUGAGGCAGACAGAGCUCGCCUGUAGAGAGAGCAUAGUCAUGCUUGGGGUGGGGCCGAGAUUAUAUGGCAUGUAGUGCAUAGAUGGAACAUGAAGAGUGGGCGGGGUGAGUGUGGAGACACAGCGCGCAGGGGCGGGCUGAGAUGGAACCUGCAGAGUGGGCGGGGUGAGUGCUGGGACACAGCGCACAGGGGUGGGCUCAGAUCGCACCCGGAAACAGUGAUGAUGGCGCUGGGAUGGCGCAGGGAAAUACACAAUUCAGCUGCGACGGCAGGGGGAGGGGGGUCCUCACGGUGGCCGCCGCCGCAGGACUGCGGCACAGGGGCCGGCCCGCUGCCAGUGAUGGAGCUGGCAGUGUGUGGCGCAAAUGGCAGCAGCGGCGGGGCGGGGCUGCGGCAGCAGUGGCGGUGGAGGCGGGGUGGGCGAUAGUGGCCAUGGCAGUGGCUGGCCAUGGCAGCGGCGGCAGCAGUGGGGCUGGGAGAUGCACCACAGCUUUUAGUCAAGUGUGGCUCUGCUCUCAGAGGCGCGCGGCCAGCAGCCAGGGAACAGUAACCCGCAGGAGCCGCGCUCGCAGGACGCAGUGCCAAAAGCUAAACCCAUGGUGCAGACAGUCCCCCGUGUAUCUCUCAACGGCUGAAUGGGCCAGCACCGGCAUGAAUGGGCCGGUGCUGCGGGGAACAGGUUGGAUGUGGAGCUGAGUGACACGUGGAGCUGAAACUGUUUGUGGGGCGCACAGAAACGUCAACCCUGUGUGGACCUGAAGCGCUGCAUGGAAGUGGAGAUACUGCACAGAAUUGGAGCGCGAUGUGAGAGUCAAAAGCUGUUUAAAAUCUAAAGCAGUUUUAUGUGAAUCUCUUAACAUUGUCUGGUCUCAUUUUUUUUUUAAUCUUGGUGGCAGGGGAUGGAUUGGGGCACAUGGGAAACAAAGCAACGCUGGCAGCGUGGUUGCGGGGAGGGUUAACCGGGAGGAAAGGAGGCACUGAGAAAACUCUGAAAGGCUGCAAGGGAAGAUGCUGUUAUCUCUUUAAGUGCGGGGAGGGGGAGGGAUCCUGGAGGAGACAAAGGGACAGGGACGCUGGUGGGAAUGGAAAGGGCACAUUCCCAAAACAAAGAUAGAGAGUUUUGUAAGCUUGUCCGCAGUGUGAUGAGCCAUAAAUAGGUAUGGUUUCGGGGGGGGGGGGGCGGGAAGUGGUCCCCCAGAUAAAAUCUGGUGUGGUGUCUAGCACAUGGGGCUACAAUCAGAUGAGGCCAAGGACCGUGGUCUGUCAGGAUUAGAGUCGUCACAAUGCACCCCAGACCAACGGGUUGGCUAUAUGGCUUCAAACUCUUUAAUAAUUGGCUGUCACCAAUAUUAAGAGUGGACUUUUAGGCAUUAGGGUAACCAUUGUUGAUCACCUUGUAUUAUGUUUUUAUAUUAUCUAUUAUAUCCACCCUUUUGACUUGACCGAUUCUGUUCUGUUAUGUCACAUUUGGUUUUACUCUCUUCCAAAAAAGCAAUAAGAACAGUGGGAGCAAUGAAACCCAAAAUGUGUAAUAGUCACUGUACAAAAGAGAGGAAAAGAAAAUGCUCUAAACUAUAUAACUGCAUGUAUAUUUAAA